rnacentral:rRNA from 1 species
UACGAAGGGGGCUAGCGUUGCUCGGAAUGACUGGGCGUAAAGGGCGCGUAGGCGGCUUGCACAGUCAGGCGUGAAAUUCCUGGGCUCAACCUGGGGACUGCGCUUGAGACGUGUGGGCUUGAGUGGGGAAGAGGGUCGUGGAAUUCCCAGUGUAGAGGUGAAAUUCGUAGAUAUUGGGAAGAACACCGACGGCGAAGGCAGCGUCCUGGCCGAGCACUGACGCUCAGGCACGAAAGCGCGGGGAGCAAACAGG